GCGGCUAUAGUUCAACAGGAUAGAACUGACCCCUCCUAAGGGUCGGAUCUGGGUUCGAGUCCCGGUGGCCGCACCA
rnacentral:tRNA from 1 species